rnacentral:rRNA from 1 species
GACGAACGCUGGCGGCGUGCCUAAUACAUGCAAGUAGAACGCUGAAGAGAGGAGCUUGCUCUUCUUGGAUGAGUUGCGAACGGGUGAGUAACGCGUAGGUAACCUGCCUUGUAGCGGGGGAUAACUAUUGGAAACGAUAGCUAAUACCGCAUAACAAUGGAUGACACAUGUCAUUUAUUUGAAAGGGGCAAUUGCUCCACUACAAGAUGGACCUGCGUUGUAUUAGCUAGUAGGUGAGGUAAUGGCUCACCUAGGCGACGAUACAUAGCCGACCUGAGAGGGUGAUCGGCCACACUGGGACUGAGACACGGCCCAGACUCCUACGGGAGGCAGCAGUAGGGAAUCUGCGGCAAGGGGGGCAACCCUGACCGAGCAACGCCGCGUGAGUGAAGAAGGUUUUCGGAUCGUAAAGCUCUGUUGUAAGUCAAGAACGGGUGUGAGAGUGGAAAGUUCACACUGUGACGGUAGCUUACCAGAAAGGGACGGCUAACUACGUG